rnacentral:rRNA from 1 species
UACGGAGGGGGCUAGCGUUGUUCGGAAUUACUGGGCGUAAAGCGCACGUAGGCGGACCAGCAAGUUGGGGGUGAAAUCCCGGGGCCCAACCCCGGAACUGCCUUCAAAACUGCGGGUCUGGAGGUCGAGAGAGGUGAGUGGAAUUCCGAGUGUAGAGGCGAAAUUCGUAGAUAUUCGGCAAGAACACCAGUGGCGAAGGCGGCUCACUGGCCGUAC